rnacentral:rRNA from 1 species
AUGUCCAGCAGUAGGCAUGCACUUGCAACGGUCACACCCCAACUGCAAUUGCAUGCCUUCCAACAAGGGAUGCAACGAGUUUUUUUGGGGAAUUGCAUGACCGAUACUGGGCAUGCAACUACAACUGUGACCACCGACUACAACCGCAUUUCGUUAGUUGGCUUGCAACUACAAGUCUCACGCCCAACUGUAAUUGCAUGUCUGUGUUUUUGUCGUAGGGCGGCGGAGGAGAGAGGGGGUGACGUAGUUGCAAGUGGGGGGGGGAGUUGCAUGUCCGGUACUAGGCAUGCAACUGUCACCCAUGACUGCAACCGCAUGUCCGAUAGUAGCUUGCAACUAUAG